rnacentral:rRNA from 1 species
GACGAACGCUGGCGGCGUGCUUAAUACAUGCAAGUCAACUGAACUUGAGGUAGUAAUACUUUAAGGGAGGUGGCGCACGGGUGAGUAACACGUAGGUAAUCUGCCUUUAGGUCUGACAUAAUUCCGCGAAAGCGGGACUAACUUCAGAUGAUGCAGCGGCUCGACAUCGAGACAGUUGUUAAAUCUUCGGAGCCUAAAGAUGAGCCUGCGUCUGAUUAGGAGUUGGCGGAGUAAAAGCCCACCAAGCCUGCGAUCAGUAGCUGGUCUGAGAGGAUGAUCAGCCACACUGGAACUGAGACACGGUCCAGACUCCUACGGGAGGCAGCAAGUAAGGAAUAUUGCUCAAUGGCCGAAAGGCUGAAGCAGCAACGCCGCGUGGAGGAUGAAAUUACUUUUGUAUAGUAACUCCUGUAAGAAGGAAAUAUUUCGUAUUUAUCGGAAUUGAUUGUACCUUCAGAGUAAGCACCGGCUAACUACGU